CACAUUGUGACAGCAUGUGAGGUUCAGGAUCUUUAGCUUGUGUAGUUUCUCAGUAAACUGCUUCAACAGUCUUUUUGGCAGGUGUAGGUUUAAUAAUCAAACAGAAGGUUUUCAACUUAAAUCUCUUCGGCUAAGAAAAAAAUACUUAUUCUUCUUUGUUUCACUUUUCUCCACCACACACACGUCACCAUUCUCCCACAGUCUAAUAGACUUUGCUGCUGCUCUCUCUGGCAACGUGGGUUUUGUAGUCCUUAACAGAUGGCCAUCCAGCUUCCACGUGUGGUGACCUGGGAGUGGUAGUUCUUAAGAUCCCUCUUGCUCCAGCCAUCUUAGAGAAAUUUAUCUGCCCUCUACAACAUGCCCUCUCAUGAUGCCACAACAUACUUCAUAGUUCACAUACAGUCAUGCUCAAGAGUUUACAUACCCCUUGCUCCAUCUGCAAAAUGUUAAUUAUUUUAAAAAAUUAAAAGGGAUCAUACAAAAUGUCACAGACACGUCAGGUUCCACCUCACUCCCUUACCCACGCACUCAAUCACCAGCCUACUAAUCACCGCCACCUGAAGACCAUCAACACCAUCAUCAACACCAGCACUUAAGCUCCACACUUACACACACUCACUGUCCGGUCUCGUUUGCACUACAGCCACUUGUAUGCUUACCUCAAGGACUCCAAACGCUAUACUUACCUGUCUCCAUCGUCUCCAUCGUCUCCAACGUUCCUCGUGUGCCUACCUGCCUGUGUGUGUGAGUGUCCCAGUCAUCCGUCUCCAGCAUCUCCUUCCAUCACCAUCUGCAACUCAACAAAAGGACAGUAUUACUUCUCAUUCUUCUCCACGACCAUCAAACUUACCAUUCACUUACCUGUUGCUCUGCUGAUUACCUCAAUAAACAUCUGUACUGCUUUUA